rnacentral:rRNA from 1 species
GGCAGCAGUGGGGAAUUUUGGACAAUGGGGGCAACCCUGAUCCAGCCAUGCCGCGUGAGUGAAGAAGGCCUUCGGGUUGUAAAGCUCUUUCGGCGGGGAAGAAAUGGCAACGGCUAAUAUCCGUUGUUGAUGACGGUACCCGCAUAAGAAGCACCGGCUAACUACGUGCCAGCAGCCGCGGUAAUACGUAGGGUGCGAGCGUUAAUCGGAAUUACUGGGCGUAAAGCGUGCGCAGGCGGUUUCGUAAGACAGACGUGAAAUCCCCGGGCUCAACCUGGGAACUGCGUUUGUGACUGCGAGGCUAGAGUACGGCAGAGGGGGGUAGAAUUCCACGUGUAGCAGUGAAAUGCGUAGAGAUGUGGAGGAAUACCGAUGGCGAAGGCAGCCCCCUGGGUUAGUACUGACGCUCAUGCACGAAAGCGUGGGGAGCAAACAGGAUUAGAUACCCUGGUAGUCCACGCCCUAAACGAUGUCAACUAGGUGUUGGAAGGGUUAAACCUUUUAGUACCGCAGCUAACGCGUGA